UAAACAUUGUUUGUAUAGAUUAUAGAUUAACUAAAAGUAUUCCUUAUGGGAAACAAGGGAUGGGCCGAAAUAAAGGGAUGGGUUCUGGCUAGUAAUCUGCAGCAGGAGCAUGUCCUUAAGGCACAGAUCACUCAUGCUAUUGUUUGUGGUUUAAAAACGCCUUUAAGCGGUUUUCUGCCCUGGAUGGGCCAGGUGUUCCUUGCCCCCAUUCCGGUAAACCCACAACCUUCCAGCAUGUGCGUCAUGGCCAUCACGAGCAUAUCACAGUGCUGCAGAGAUUUUGUUUAUGGCCAAUUUCGGGGCCAGUUUAUGGCCAGAUUUUGCGGGGGGGCCUGUUCCCAACACUGCUUGAUCCCAUACUCUCUCCAACCUCACACAUAGCAUGCACUGAAAGCAAACUCACAAAGUCAGCAGCAUGGUACAUUUCCUUUAAUUUAGGAAAGGAACUGAGUCCAGACUAAAUGAGGAACCUCAUGCCUCUCUGGUGUCUCAAUUUCCCACCUAACUAUUGGGAUCUGCAAAGUCAACAUUUUUAAAGAAUCACAUGCUCCUUGUAUAGACGGAAGGAACACACCAGAAGAACCUGGACAGGUUUUAAUCCUUUGAGAAUUAAAGUCCCAAACUGCACCAAAAAAGAUAAUUCUGCAGUCUUUCUGGAAGCUUCUCUCCUCAUAAAUCUGUUGCCAUUUAACAGGGUGAUGAACAUGACAUUGAUUCUAGGGUUUCCAAUAGACACAGUGGGUCAUAGGUACAAUUUUGCUCCUUUCACUCCGGGAGUCUUAGGCACAGCUGUGUCCAAAAGGAUUUGCUGCCCUUUAUUUGGGUUUGCAAGGAUGUUGUAUUUCUCUGCAUUGCAGAUUUCCACAGCUUUGUGAGCAAGCCAUAAUUAUUUCCAGACAAGAUGCUGGCUCAGAUGACUGCCUCAUCCCUAAUGUGGCUUCUCAGUUUCGCAAGAGGAAAACCCAGAACUUUCCUCCCUGUGCCUUCUGUGCCUCCUGGUAACGUGGCAAAGAGAAAUCACAACUAGGAAAGAAGUCGUCAUUUUAGGCGAUGAUAAAGCAUUCCCAGAAUAAAAUAACUUGUUCAAAUUCCAAACCCACAUGUAUAGAAACUAUAAUUUUUGUUUUGUUCUGUUGUUUUUUUGAGACAGAGUCUUGCUCUGUUGCCCAGGCUGGAGUGCAAUGGUGUGAUCUCGGCUCACUGCAACCUCCGCCUCCCGGCUUCAAGUGAUUCUCCUGCCUCAGCCUCCCGAGUAGCUGGGAUCACACACACAUGCCACCACGCCUGGCUAAUUUUUUAUAUCUUUAGCAGAGACAGGGUAUCACCAUGUUGGCCAGGCUGGUCUCAAACUCCUGACCUCAUGAUCCACCCGCCUCAGCUUCCCAAAGUGCUGGAAUUACAGCUGUGAGGCACCACGCCCGGCCAAAACUAUAAUUUUCUGUGUGGAUGGCAACUUUCUUCCACAAACAGAAUAAGGGGUGAUUGUGCCAAUGGUUUCUGCUCUUGAAAUAUACCUGGGUCUGGAGGCAAGUCUGCAAUGAUAGAACAUUCAGCAGCCCAUCUGUGUGUGAAAAGCCUGCCAUACGGCAAAGAACGAGCAAACUGGAGAACCACACCAACCCAUUUCCAUUCCCCAGCCCUCUGAAAACCCACAAAGAGAAGUUCAGUUGGGCAGCUAGAGCUUGCUGGGAACUAAGGAGUCCACUGAGUGACCAUAAGCACUGAAGAGCUUGCAUUUGCAUUGGCUUUCCUUAAAGAUUUGGUUUUAAGUAGCAAAACAAAUACAAAUUCAAGAGACAUCUUGCUUAAAAAAAAAAAGGUGGAGGGGAAGGUGGUAUUUAUAUUGCCACGUCAAUUUUUUAAUGCACUUUAAGAUGAAAGAAAUGUCCAUUAAAACAGGGAAUAAUAACCAGUCCCUAAAGAUCCAUUUGCAGCUCUUUUCACUUCCUCCAGAGUGAAAGAAAUUCCAGUUUCAUGAUGUCACUGCCUUAGCCAGAUCUUUCUGAGGAUGCAGCUGCUCAGAUGCACACAGGUUCUGUUUGUGCAGUUUCCUCCUGUGUUUCCCAGAGGCGAAUGAGGAGGACGGGCCAUGGCAACAUUCAACAAGCUGGCCUCACCCAGCACAUACACACCUGCCAUCUCUGCAGUUCUGACCUUGGCUAGCCUCACUCCACUGUCUAGCUUUAAGCCCCAUCUUCAUCUUUGAGCAGUGGCUGGAAGUUACAGCUGCAGCAAAUGUGCAGAAUAUGAAAAGAAUUUAGAAUAGAAUUAGACCAGAAACGAUGUUGUUAAAUCCAGCCAUGUGCUACAGAGACCUGGCAAGGUUGCAGGCAUGUCUAAGUGUACAGAAGCAGGUGACAUAUGACCGAAUGUAGGGGCCAGGACUAGGAGCUGACCUUUGCAAGACAGUGACUUAGCAAGUACAAAAUCAACAAAAAUCAUCCUGACCUCUCUACUUCUAACUCCUGCACCCAAGCUAACAUCCCUGCUCAUGAUGCAACCUCGGCCAGCUGGAUCGUUUCAGCCUUGACUGAUGUGCACGUGCUCACAACAGAGGCGAAGGGCCGUAGAGUGAAGGCCCAAGGCUGCCACUGGUUAGCCUGUGGACUCGAGUCUCAGUUUUCUCAUCUGUAAAAUGGCAUAAUAAUAAAUACAUCAUGCAGCCAACGGCAAGGACGGGAUGAAAUGUUGUGGGUAAAGAAAGCCCCCUGCCAACUACCUGGCCCAUGGCAGGCACCCCACAGACAGUGCUUGUGAUUGUCACCUCACUGUGAGACCUACAGUAAUAGUCAUGUAAUACUCUUUUCCUCUGGGCCAUUGUUUUCUUGGAUUAUAUUGACAACUUAUAUUGUAAGGAAAUCUCCCAGAGUGACCCUGUUAAGAUGUCAGAAAUAUCAUAGCACAUGUCAGCUUGAAGCCCUUUGAUGGCUUCGUCUUGGUCAGAAGAAGAGCCGAGGUCAGACUGUGGCCUCCAGGUCCCCCAGCAGGUGGCUCAGUGCUUUCCUGGGAUACACUAGGCCCUUCCAUGGCAGGUCUUUGUGACAGCUGUUCCCUCUGCCUGGAAGCUCUUCCUUAAGAAUUCUGUGUGACUCACCUCUUCCACUUUCAGGCCUCUGUUUGAAUGUCACCUGAGCCCCCUGUUUAAAACUGCACCCCACCCAACAGGCCAAUCCCAGGAAUAAGUGCAUCCUUUGUGUCAAAAGGGGUGGUCUGAAAGCUUAAGAAAUGGUAAAAGGAUUCUCCUCAUGGCUUAUACUUUGUUGCUAGGCUGCAACUUUUUUUUCUUUUGAGACAGAGUUUUGCUCUUGUUGCCCAGGCUGGAGUGCCAUGGCACGAUCUGGGCUCACUGCAACCUCCGCCUCCCAGGUUCAAGAGAUU
rnacentral:lncRNA from 10 species